GGAGAAGCUGCGAUAUGUUGUUUCUUACCAGCAGCGAUUCAUUCAGACCUGAGUUCUUAUCGAGUUCUUGACAGGAUUCGUGAGGUGCCUGUGAUUGGCAGUCCUCUACCAGCGCUGAGAGAGAUGCGUGUUAUAAUCUUAUCUGAGGAAACAAAGUAUAAACGCAAGAUACCAACCAAUAUGCAGUACAAAGGAUGUCAGAGAGAAAACUGAGUUGAGUGCUAAGAUAACUCCAAAGAGAAUUCCAGGAGAGAUUCUAGUACAUGGCUUUGGAAUUGUCUUCCUCCUCAUGGGCCCUGUGGCAAAUUAAAGAUAGCUGCAAAUUCUUUUUAUCAAGAGAUGAAGUCUAUGCCUUCUCUUCCUGAAUCUGGAUGGACAUCCUGUGACAAUUUUGACCAAAAUAAUUUGGCAUAAGUGAUGCUGUGCCAGUGUCCUGCACAGGCCUGUGAUACUGGCAACUUCCUUUCCUGUCUUUUGGAACCCUUGCCUUUGGCACCCUGAGCCUUUAUGUAAGAAGUUUGUCAAGUUGGCCAGAAAGACGUUAAGAAUCCACCAAAAGAAGAUGGGGAUGGGCUUAGAUGUCAGGCAUGUGAGUGACGCUAUCUUGGACCCUCCAGCACAGUCCUGCUGGAUGUAUAUCUCUGAGUGACCCCAAUCAAUGCUGUGUAAAGCUGCCCAGUUUAGCCCUGCCCAAAAUGCUGAUCUACAGAUGUGAGAUGUAGUAAAAUUAUUGUUCUUUCAGGCCAUUAAGUUUGAGAUAGUUUGUUAUGCAGUAAUAAAUGACUAGAACAGACACCUAGAAGUAA